rnacentral:tRNA from 1 species
UCUUUAAUAGUUAAAAAAUAACUUAAAAUUGCAAAUUUUACAUUUAGGAGAACCUAUUAAAGAU